rnacentral:lncRNA from 1 species
CAAGAAAUGGCAAAAAGACAAAAAGACAAAAAAAAAAAAAAAAAAAAAAAACAAACAAAAAAAUGACACAGGGACAGGAGCAUAGGAAGGAAGUGCUGAACACGUGUGUCAUGAUGUAACCUGACUCUCUGUCUCACUGUCACCUCCAGCCAGGGACUUGAUUGUACCUUUAAAGGGACAGGCAAUUUCCAGGCCAAAUUUCUUGUGUGAGAUUUAGUUCAAAUAGGAGAAGUGGGGGAUGUGACCACUUGGAACACCUCUUAAAGCCCCAUUGGGGGAGUUCCCAUCGUGGCGCAGUGGUUAGCGAAUCUGACUAGGAACCAUGAGGUUGCGGGUUCGAUCCCUGCCCUUGCUCAGUGGGUUAACGAUCCGGCGUUGCCGUGAGCUGUGGUGUAGGUUGCAGACGCGGCUCGGAUCCUGCGUUGCUGUGGCUCUGGUGUAAGCCGGUGGCUACAGCUCCGAUUAGACCCCUAGCCUGGGAACCUCCAUAUGCCGUGGGAGCAGCCCAAAGAAAUAGCAAAAAGACAAAAAAAAAAAAAAAAAAAGCCCCAUUGGGAGUUCUCUUGUGGAGCAGUGGGUUAAGGAUCUGGUGUUGUCGAUGCAGCAGCUGGGGUUGCUGCUGUGGUAUGGGUUCAGUCCCUGGCCUGGAAACGUCCACGUGCUGCAGGCGUGGCCAAACAUAAAUAAAUAAAUAAAUAAAUACAGCCCCAUUGCAUCAAAGUUUUCAACAAGAAAUUUUUGGAUCACAAAAAAAUUUUUAAGCCUUGAAUGAACACUCUGCUUAUUUCAAGCAGUUUCUGAAACAGUACAACUGGAGACAUCUGUAACACUCGGAUACUUAAUUGUUACAUUGAUAUUGUGAUGAUGACAGUUUAAUUGUGGCAAUGGUGAUGACAGUUAACCUGUGGCAGCUGCAAAAAGGGGUUGCCCAUAAUGUAAGUUAUUUGCCAUGAUUUCCCACUGAGAUAUGCUCUAACCACCCUAUUUAAAUUGUACCCUGUGUCUUCCAGUCCAAACUCCCUUAUUUUGUUCUAUUUUUUUCCAUAGCACUUAACUUCUAACAGAUUACAUCACUUACUUAUUUUACUUAUUUAUUAUGUUUUUAUUGCCUAUUAUUUCCUCCCAUCCUGCCUGUUCUGGAGUGUCUUAUUCAAUGAUUCACAACCCCAGCAUCUAAGAAUAAUACCUGGUACCUAGAAGCAGCUCCCUAAAUAUUUGUUGAAAGAUUAGAUGAAAUGCCAAGCUUAGUCAUUGACACAUGAUGGCAUUUGUUUCCUUCCUCUUUGAUGGGCUACAGGAUCUGAGUUUUGUGAUUCAGGAACCUGAAAUGAAAAUGCAGGAUAUUGGAAGGCCAUAGCCUCUGCUCCUGUGUGAUUCUUGGCAGUACAAAAUGGUACAGAACCUGGGCUGCUCCCCUUGGACCUGGUGUCAGUAACUUAGUGCUCCUAGCAUGGCCUGGCUUUGGCAGUGGCCAGUCCCCUUGGACUCUCUUUGGCAGAGAUCUGAGCUGUGCAUUUGGUGGGAUCUUGGUAUUGGAUGAAGAGCAGCAGGGCUUGGAUCUCACUCAGUCCCUUUAAACAGGGGCUAUGUCCUAUAAUGGGAUUAGUAAAUAAAGGUGGCUAUAUCCUGCCAUGCAAUGAGGACCAUCUCUCUGUGUUGCAACAGAGAAAUGCUAGGGAUAUAUCAAAGAGAAAAGGCAGGAUGCAGAAAGUGUGCAUAGUUCACUACCUUUUGUGUAAGAAAAGAGGAGACCAGGAAAAAAUAUAUAAUAUGUAUGUAAAAUAUAUGUAUACAUUAUACAUAAUAUGUAUAUAUACUUGAAUAUACAAAUAUUCACAUUUCCUUUGUUGCAUACACAAUCCUGGAAGGGUGAACAAAGAGAAGACCUAAUAAAAUGACUACCUAGGAGCAGGUAGAGAAGAGGUUGAGCGGUUAGAGGGUAUGAGAGUGAGACCCAUGUUCUAGCAGGUGCUGUGGGAUUUGAAGGGCAGAGGAAGCGGGUCUGGGGAGGACUAGCCCAUCUGUCUGAGGAGGUUAUGCUGAGCUGAUUCUGAGGCUGGGCCUACAGGGGGGAAGGUGGUGUCUAGAUGGAGGUGGGAGAAGAUAGGCAUUUUCAGAGAUGAGAGAGACCUUGGUAGAUUGGGAGCCUCAGAGUAAUUCCACUUGAUUGGAGGUCAGAGUGUGUUUUUGUUGUUGUUGUUGUUAUUGUUGUUUUGCUUUUCAGGCCCACACCUGCAGCAUAUGGAGGUUCCCUGGCUAGGGGUUGAAUCGGAACUACAGCCACUGGCCUAUGCCACAGCCAUAGCAAUGCAGGAUCCAAGCUGUGUCUGUGACCUGCACCACAGCUCACAGCAACGCUGGAUGCUUAAUCCACUGAACAAGGUCAGGGAUUGAACCUGUGUCCUCAUGGAUCCUAGUUGGGUUCGUUAACCGCUGAGCCACAAAGGGAACUCCCAGAUCGUGUUUUUAAUUAAGGGGUAGGGAUAGGGAUUGGGGAUAGGGUUGCUGGGAAUGGCAAGAGCUGAGGAUGUAGAAAAGUCAGGACACUGGUGAUAGAGAACCAUGUGUCUCAAGGUACGGACCUCGGAUGUUAACUUUCGAGUAGCCCUUUGUAAGCUGGGGUCUGCUGUAAUGAGAUUGGUGCUCUGGAGAGAUUACAUGGUUACUGGAGAAGAGAGGAUAAUCGGCAGAGUGAGUGUGUGUGUGUGUGUGUGUGUGUGUGUGUAACUGUGUCCUUAGUGGUGGGAAUAUCAGUUGGGAGGCCCUUGUACUUGUUGGGCGAGAGGUGCUGAGGGUCUAGAAUGGAGAAGCAGCACCGUAGCCCAAGUUAAAGGCUGGUGUUGGAAUGCCUGAGUAUGCAUCUUGGCUCCUGACUUCCUUGCUAGCUGUGUGGCCUUGGGCAGGCUUACCUAACCUCCUGCUCUUUCCUUUCUUCAGGUGUAAAAUGGGGCUGCUAGCGUCAAUGUGAUAAUACUUGUCAAAGUGCUAACCUCAGACGCUGGAAGGACACUGUGGGAGAGGGAUGCUCAGGGGACAUGCUCUUCAGUGGCGUGGGUGUGGAUAGGAACCAGUCCUGCCUGGGGACCAUCACAAUCCACAUCAAAUCUGUGAUUGAUUAAAAGGAGGGAAGGGGGAGUUUCUGUUGUGGCUCAGUGGCAACGAAUCCAACUAGUAUCCACGAGGCCAUGGGUUCUAUCCCUGGCCCCCUUCAGUGGGUUGGUGAUCCGAUGUUGCCAUGAGCUGUGGUAUAGGUCCCAGACACAGUUGGGAUCCUGGGUUGCUGUGGCGUAGGCUGGCAGCUGCAGCUUUGAUUCAACCCCUAGCCUGGGAACUUCCAAUGCCACACCUGCAGCCCU